rnacentral:lncRNA from 1 species
GUCCUUUUUUACCAUGUUUUCUCAUGUGCAAUCAAAUGGAGUAUGUUAUUAAAGCAACACAAAUUAGAAAUUUUAUUAUCCAGCUUUGCAAAAGUUAAUUCAGUGUUCAGAUUUGUACAACAGUAUGGACAAAAAACAAUCUUGGUUUGAAGUAAAUCGAUCUCAGUAUGGAAAAAAAAUCUCCGUUUAAAAUCAAUCUAGGUAUGGAAAUAAAACCAAUCUCGGUUUAAAGUAAAUCGAUCUCUGUAUGGAAAAAAAUAAUUAUCAGUAUAAAAUCAAUCUCGGUAUGGAAACAAAAAAUAUGUUCUAUCUUGGUAUAGAAACCAAUACAUGUAUGGAAAGUUGGAAACAAAAAAUGUAUAAAACCAAUUCGGUAUGUAAAAUGAAAUCAAUCUUGGUAUGGAAAUUGGAAAGUAUGAAAAAAUCAAUGUUGGUAUGGAAACCAAUUAGGAAGGUAUGAAAAAAUAACCUCGGCAUGGAAAACAAAAAAGAACCCUUUGGUGUAGAAACCAGAACUGAAUGAUAGGUGAUAGUUUUUUUGAGUAUAGAAAACUCGCUGGAUAU